GGGGGCUAAAAUGCAGUCGAGCGCAGGAAAUCUGCUUAACCCUUCGGGGGGAGGUUGAUGGAAUGAGCGGCGGACGGUUGAGUAACACGUAAAGAACCUGCCCUCCGGUCUGGGAUAACUCGACAAAUCGGGGCUAAUACCGGAUGGGUCAUCGGACCGCAUGGUCCUAGGAGGAAAGGCGCUUCGGCGUCGCCUGGGGAUGGCUUUGCGGUGCAUUAGCUAGUUGGUGGGGUAAUGGCCCACCAAGGCGACGAUGCAUAGCCGACCUGAGAGGGUGAUCGGCCACACUGGGACUGAGACACGGCCCAGACUCCUACGGGAGGCAGCAGUAGGGAAUCUUCCACAAUGGACGAAAGUCUGAUGGAGCAACGCCGCGUGAACGAUGAAGGCCUUCGGGUCGUAAAGUUCUGUUGUAAGGGAAGAACAAGUGCCGCAGGCAAUGGCGGCACCUUGACGGUACCUUGCGAGAAAGCCACGGCUAACUACGUGCCAGCAGCCGCGGUAAUACGUAGGUGGCAAGCGUUGUCCGGAAUUAUUGGGCGUAAAGCGCGCGCAGGCGGCCUCUUAAGUCUGAUGUGAAAGCCCCCGGCUCAACCGGGGAGGGCCAUUGGAAACUGGGAGGCUUGAGUAUAGGAGAGAAGAGUGGAAUUCCACGUGUAGCGGUGAAAUGCGUAGAGAUGUGGAGGAACACCAGUGGCGAAGGCGACUCUUUGGCCUAUAACUGACGCUGAGGCGCGAAACGUGGGGAGCAAACANGAUUAGAUACCCUGGUAAUCCACGCCGUAAACGAUGAGUGCUAGGUGUUGGAGGGUUUCCGCCUUUACUGCUGAAACUAAUCAUUAACAGUCCCCCGGGGAUAGGUCACAGGUUAAACU
rnacentral:rRNA from 1 species